rnacentral:rRNA from 1 species
GUGCCAGCCGCCGCGGUAAGACGAACCGUGCGAACGUUAUUCGGAAUCACUGGGCUUAAAGCGCGUGUAGGCGGAUGGGAACGUCGGUAGUUGAAAGCCCCCGGCUCAACCGGGGAAGUGGUGCCGAAACGACCCGUCUGGAGGGACGUAGGGGGACCUGGAACUUCCGGUGGAGCGGUGAAAUGCGUUGAGAUCGGAAGGAACGCCCGUGGCGAAAGCGAGGUCCUGGACGUCUACUGACGCUGAGACGCGAAAGCUAGGGGAGCAAACGGGAUUAGAAACCCUCGUAGUCC